AACGAACGCUGGCGGCAUGCCUAACACAUGCAAGUCGAACGAAGCCUUCGGGCUUAGUGGCGCACGGGUGCGUAACGCGUGGGAAUCUGCCCUUGGGUUCGGAAUAACAGUUAGAAAUGACUGCUAAUACCGGAUGAUGUCUUCGGACCAAAGAUUUAUCGCCCAAGGAUGAGCCCGCGUAGGAUUAGGUAGUUGGUGGGGUAAUGGCCCACCAAACCGACGAUCCUUAGCUGGUCCGAGAGGAUGAUCAGCCACACUGGGACUGAGACACGGCCCAGACUCCUACGGGAGGCAGCAGUGGGGAAUAUUGGACAAUGGGCGAAAGCCUGAUCCAGCAAUGCCGCGUGAGUGAUGAAGGCCUUAGGGUUGUAAAGCUCUUUUACCAGGGAUGAUAAUGACAGUACCUGGAGAAUAAGCUCCGGCUAACUCCGUGCCAGCAGCCGCAGUAAGAC
rnacentral:rRNA from 1 species